rnacentral:rRNA from 1 species
GAUGAACGCUGGCGGCGUGCCUAAUACAUGCAAGUAGAACGCUGAAGGAAGGAGCUUGCUCUUUCCGGGUGGGUUGCGAACGGGUGAGUAACGCGUAGGUAACCUGCCUGGUAGCGGGGGAUAACUAUUGGAAACGAUAGCUAAUACCGCAUAACAGUAUAUGUUGCAUGAUAUCUACUUAAAAGGUGCAAUUGCACCACUACCAGAUGGACCUGCGUUGUCUUAGCUAGUUUGUGAGGUAACGGCUCACCCAGGCGACGAUACCUAGCCGACCUGAGAGGGGGAUCCGCCACACUGGGACUGAGACAAGGCCCAGACUCCUACGGGAGGGAGCAGGAGGGAAUCUUAGGCAAUGGACGGAAGGCUGAACGAGCAACGCCGCGUGAGGGAAGAAGGGUUUCGGAUCGUAAAGCUCUGUUGUAAGAGAAGAAAGAGUGUGAGAGUGGAAAGUUCACACUGUGACGGUAUCUUACCAGAAAGGGACGGCUAACUACGUG